rnacentral:rRNA from 1 species
UACGGAGGGGGCUAUCGUUGUUCGGAAUUACUGGGCGUAAAGCGCACGUAGGCGGAUUGGAAAGUCAGGGGUGAAAUCCCGGGGCUCAACCCCGGAACUGCCUUUGAAACUCCCAGUCUUGAGGUCGAGAGAGGUGAGUGGAAUUCCGAGUGUAGAGGUGAAAUUCGUAGAUAUUCGGAGGAACACCAGUGGCGAAGGCGGCUCACUGGCUCGAUACUGACGCUGAGGUGCGAAAGCGUGGGGAGAAAACAGG